GAGUUUGAUCUUGGCUCAGAUUGAACGCUGGCGGCAUGCCUAACACAUGCAAGUCGAACGGCAGCACUGGGAGCUUGCUCCCUGGUGGCGAGUGGCGGACGGGUGAGUAACGCGUAGGAAUCUGCCUCAUAGCGGGGGACAACUCGGGGAAACUCGAGCUAAUACCGCAUACUACUCGAGAGAGGAAAGCAGGGGACCUUCGGGCCUUGCACUAUGAGAUGAGCCUGCGUUGGAUUAGCUAGUUGGUAGGGUAAAGGCCUACCAAGGCGACGAUCCAUAACUGGUUUGAGAGGAUGACCAGUCACACUGGGACUGAGACACGGCCCAGACUCCUACGGGAGGCAGCAGUGGGGAAGUAUUGGACAAUGGGGGAAACCCUGGAUCCAGCAAUGCCGCGUGUGUG
rnacentral:rRNA from 1 species